AUACGGAGGAUGCGAGCGUUAUCCGGAUUUAUUGGGUUUAAAGGGAGCGUAGGUGGGAUAUUAAGUCAGCUGUGAAAGUUUGGGGCUCAACCUUAAAAUUGCAGUUGAUACUGGUUUCCUUGAGUACGGUACAGGUGGGCGGAAUUCGUGGUGUAGCGGUGAAAUGCUUAGAUAUCACGAAGAACUCCGAUCGCGAGGGCUGCUCACCGGGCCGGAACAGACACUGAGGCUCGAAAGUGCGGGUAUCAAACAGGAUUAGAUACCCUGGUAGUCUACACAGUAAACGAUGAAUACUUGUUUUCGGCGAUAUAAUGUCGGAGGCAAAGCGAAAGCGAUAAGUAUUCCACCUGGGGAGUACGCUGGCACCGGUGAAACUCAAAGGAAUUGACGGGG
rnacentral:rRNA from 1 species